GGAAGUCAACAGCUUUUCUUAUCACAAUGAUCAGUAUAUUAAUGUUUAACGAGCCAUUUAAAAAUUAUUAUGCGUAAACAUAUACCGCUUACUGCACAGUGCACACGAAACACUUUGCGCAUAUAAAGCGGGCACAUUAGGCAGUUCAAAUUUUAAAAUUCCGCUGUUCGUAAAAUUGGGAAGUGUAAUAGUGCAGCGAAACUCACUUCAUUAAGCUGCAGUCCAAGCAGUUUGCAGUCCAAGCAAUGUAUUUUGCAUCUGGUAUAUUAGUCGCUUUUUCCGCCCUGGUGAACAUCGUCGCUCCAGCAGUUCAAGUGCCGACAUGGAGAUGUGAUUACGCCACGGUAUUGCCGUGCUACAUACCCUUUCAAACGUACAUUAUGAGUCCCGAAGGACAGACGAUGAUAGGAAGUCAACGAUAUGAAAUAGCUGAAACCCAGUUCGACACUCUCUGCAGAAUCGCCACGGAAUUCGUCAGUUGUGCACAGCGGAAUCUGAACACUUGUAUCCCGUUAAAUCUGACGGAUAUCCAUGAAGCCGUUGCCGGUGUGUCCCAGCUAACCGCCGCUUGCCAACGCCCGGGGGCGUACGACAAAUAUCGGACCCUGGACCCUGGCAAAGUGUGCAGAGAGAGUGCAGCAGCACACUCCCAGCAAUGGGAGGGCAUCGUACUGCCUUAACGCCGGGCCUUUAUCGUCAUCGUUGGUGCAGAUUGGAGCUCCAGAGUAUUUCGGCACCAGUGAGCGUGAGCGAAUUGAAGCCACACAGUGGAGUAAUGGACAUUUCUUGAAACUUUUGUGCUGCGGAAUCCAACGGCAAAAGGAAUGCUUCGGGAAUAUGUUGGACACUGUGUGCGAACCGGAAGCGAGGCAAUUGGUCGAUGCUGCGAUAGCGGAAGUCAAGAACACGUUCGGAUGUAAUGGAGCUCGUGUAGAAAACUGUCCGACGGCGGCCGAGACAUAUGACGCGUAUGGCACCCCCCACAAAAUGACUUAAAUAAUUAAAUCAGAUGUUCUCCGGCGACUCACGUAAAGGUGAACUUAUUAGCGAGGCAUUGAGAUAUUUGAAUAAAUACAUAAAAUGCCGCUCCCGCGCGAACUGAAACUAUCCGGACUUACAGGUACAGAGUCCUCUGUACUUGUUAAAGUACAAAGGAGACGAUUGGAC